GACGGGGGGUCCUAGCGUUGUUCGGAAUCAUUGGGCGUAAAGCGUGUGCAGGUGGUUUGGUAAGUUGGAUGUGAAAGCCUUGGGCUUAACCCAAGAAGUGCAUUCAAAACUAUUAAACUUGAGUAUGGAAGAGGAUCGCGGAAUUCCGCAUGUAGUGGUGAAAUACGUAGAUAUGCGGAGGAACACCGGCGGCGAAGGCGGCGAUCUGGCCCAAUACUGACACUCAUACACGAAAGCGUGGGUAGCAAACAGG
rnacentral:rRNA from 1 species